UGGGGAAUCUUGCGCAAUGGCCGAAAGGCUGACGCAGCGACGCCGCGUGUGGGAGGACGCCCUUCGGGGUGUAAACCACUGUUGCCCGGGACGAACAUCCCUUUUCGAAGGGACUGACGGUACCGGGUGAGGAAGCACCGGCUAACUCCGUGCCAGCAGCCGCGGUAAUACGGAGGGUGCGAGCGUUGUCCGGAAUCACUGGGCGUAAAGGGCGCGUAGGUGGCGCGGGAAGUCUUCGGUGAAAGCUCAGGGCUCAACCCUGAGUCUGCCGGCGAUACUCCCGUGCUUGAGUGUGGUAGAGGCCAAUGGAAUUCCGGGUGUAGCGGUGGAAUGCGUAGAGAUCCGGAAGAACACCGGUGGCGAAGGCGGUUGGCUGGGCCACAACUGACACUGAUGCGCGACAGCGUGGGGAGCAAACAGGAUUAGAUACCCCCGUAGUCC
rnacentral:rRNA from 1 species